CUACUUUGCUUACUUCUGAUGAUCCUUUUCUGGGGCAUAUAUGCUCUGCAGAAAUAUAAAGCAAGAUCUUUUAUGUAACUACUUCCAUGAUCGAUUCCUCAGAGAAUGUCUGUACAUUGUUUUGAGCCAAUAUGACUGACAAUAUUCUAGCUAACUUCAGUGCUACAAAAAACAGAAUUCUAUGAAGAGUAAAGUGUAAUUUGUGUUGAGCUGACCAGUCUGUUUAACUCUAUGCUCAAGUAUAUUUUUACCUUUCAGCCAAAGCCAGCACAUACAAUGCAUGUCAUAUGAUAGAGGCAUUCAGUACUUUUUAAGUUCAAUUUCAACUCGUACCUACUCAUAGAUCAUCAAUCUCUGUAAAAUAUUUAAAUAUUUUACUGAUUUUUAUUAUUUUAGUAUUUAAUAUGAAGAUAAGCAAUGACAUUCAUAUAGGCUUUCAGAUGUUUUUUACAAUUACACAAUUAUCUUCUUUUUUUUUUUUACGCUUCUUGAGAAUACAACAGGAUUUGGGACAAAUUCUACAAACAGCUUUGUCUUGCUCCCAUGUCAGCAUUUCUCUGAGUUGUUUAUAACCCUGAAGCCUGGGCUGUGUGUCCUGUCUCCUACCAUGCCAUCCAUGCUUGUACUUCUGCUUCUACAGUCACAGUGUACAAGUAUAAGUAAAAAUAAAACAGAAUAUAGCACCACUCACUAGAAAAGCAGAUGUUAUAUAUAAAAAAAAAAAAAAAAAUGUCCAGGCAAGCUGAUGCAAGUGACAUGAAGUAAACCUUGCAAACACUAAUCCUGAGGCUCUGAGAGUAAGUACACAACUACAGUCUGUUACUACCAAUGACGUUCCUGUGCAUACUGGGCUACUGGGGUAAAAAGUCCUAUGCAAACAUAAAUUACAAACCAUACCUGAUAGUAUUCAAGGUAAAAUCAAUUUCAAAGUUAACAAAGGAGACAGAAAACCUGAACAACAGUGCUCAUGGACCAACCCUGGAGACCCUCAUGGAGAGAGUCGAACUACUGGCAAUUGGGAAUAUGAUGAUUUACUGUGAUGCCCUGCUGUACUUUUAUAACUAUUGUAUUCCGAUUCAUAUUGUAAUGGCACUGAGUAUAAAUUCUAGACAUCUCACAUAAAGUAUGUUCUUUUCAUGCAUUUAAUGAUGUUUUGAGUGCAACACUCAUUUUUUCAAACAAGAAAAAGAAAAUAUUGAUCAUUUAUUUGACUGGAUUUUUUCAGUGAUUAUUCUAUCAUUUUUAGUGCUUACUACAUCAAAAACCUUUUGCAGCAUCUUUCUAAGUCUGCAAUAAUAAGUAAGAUUUAAUCAUAAUCUACUACUUCCAAGUAAGAAUUAGUAUUCAUCAGCUGUUGGGACCUAGUUUUUGACACUUUGAAUUCAACCAUCUAGAGAACACAACCAAUCUCUGAAUUCAGCUCUGUAUUUGUGCUCUGUCUUAUUAUAAACUAAGUUGAAUUAUAUAUUUUAUAUGUAUCCUACUGUACAGUGUGGAAGUCAGAAAUGAUGCCUUCUUAAGGAAUUAUUAUCAGUUGAUUUUGUCAUGUUUGCCUUCAUAAGAAGAAAUAUAAUCAGCAAAUUAAUUGAGAGAUGUCCAAAAUAAAAUAUUUUUAAAUUUGUGCAUUGUCUGAUUACACCUUGAAAGUCUAAAGCAAGGAAGAUCAAAUACAAACACCAGAGGCCACAGAAUAACACUAGUAAGAGACAAUUACUACAUCAAGAGACAGCAUUGAUUAUUACAUUUGCCUUUACUUUUAUAAAUUAGUCUCCUUCAUUUUAUAUAUAUUUAUCUUACGUACAAAAAAGUGAAAUGGAAAAUUAAGAUUGAAUACAACUGUCUGUGGAGAAGGUUGGGCAGAGAGGUUGUAAACUUUUCCUCCAUGGAAGAUUUCUAGGCCAGGCCUGGGCUGUUUGAUCUGAUCCUGUGGCUGGUCCUGUCCUGCGAAUGAGGAUGUGCUGGAUAUCUCCAGAGGUCCUUUCCAGUCCCAGCAGGAAACAUACUGGAGCAAGGCAGGCUACUGGGCAAGAAGGGAAAACAGAUUUCAGUCUCUCUGUCAUCAUGUGGGCAGAUGCUUAUUGUGUGGUGGUUCUCUUUAGCCUAUACAUGAUAUAUCAGUUCAGUCUGUAACCUCCUUGAAACAUGGAAUGUGCCUGUUGCCAUUGCACAUCUCCUAGUUUGAUGGGACUAAGAAGCAGGGACUAUUACAAACCAAAUGAAUACAAUACAUUGUUAAGCAGAUAUUAAAUGACUAUUUGGGGAAUAAAUGUUUUUGCAUUGUGAUUCAUAGCAAAUUCUGCCUGUACAAAGUUGUGGUUAUUCCCUCCCAGUUGUAGGACUGUACAUUUGAUCUCGUUGAACCUCAUAAUGUUCCUCUCUACCCAACACUCACCUUGUCCAGGUCCCACUGAAUGGUAUCACAGCCUUCUGGCAUGUUGGACAUUCUUCCCAACUUUGCAUCAUCAGCAAAUUUGCUGAGGGUGCACUCUAUCUUUUCAUCCAGGUCAUUGAUGAAUAUUGUUGAUGUUGUAAUUCAUAAACAAUAUUAUACAUGUGACACAUACAAACUUCCCUCUUUUAGUUUGGAAACGGUUUGACUCUCGUUCAUGGACUGGUAUACUGGCUUUGUAUUCCUGCAGUGCCUGAUUGUUAUCAAAAGAUUUAGAUUGCUUUAUCUCUUAUUUCCACCUAUAUAAACCUUUAUGCUUCUUUUCUUUUUGUCUGCUGGCUGUUACACAGUGCUCAAUGAUGGUACUCUGGUAGGUUAUUUGAUGUAUAGCAGGUGGUUUGGUUUCCAGGUUGUACUUUUGAGUCUGCUUUUCAAUAGUUAUUCACCAUUAAAUGCAACUGAAUAAGA
ensembl:lncRNA